rnacentral:tRNA from 1 species
UGAUGCUACGGACUUAAAAUCCGUCGACUUUAAAAAUCGUGAGGGUUCAAGUC